AGCGAACGCUGGCGGCAGGCCUAACACAUGCAAGUCGAACGAACCUUUCGGGGUUAGUGGCGGACGGGUGAGUAACACGUGGGAACGUGCCUUUAGGUUCGGAAUAACUCAGGGAAACUUGUGCUAAUACUGAAUGUGCCCUUCGGGGGAAAGAUUAAUCGCCUUUAGAGCGGCCCGCGUCUGAUUAGCUAGUUGGGUGAGGUAAUGGCUCACCAAGGCGACGUUCAGUAGCUGGUCUGAGAGGAUGAUCAGCCACAUUGGGACUGAGACACGGCCCAAACUCCUACGGGAGGCAGCAGUGGGUAAUCUUGCGCAAUGGGCGAAAGCCUGACGCAGCCAUGCCGCGUGAAUGAUGAAGGUCUUAGGAUUGUAAAAUUCUUUCACCGGGGACGAUAAUGACGGUACCCGGAGAAGAAGCCCCGGCUAACUUCGUG
rnacentral:rRNA from 1 species